UACUGCUCAGGAGUGAAGAGCAGACAUACUGUUAAGAACAGGAAGCUGAAGGUGAGGCUUCAAAUGUGACGCAGAGAUUCCCAUUUCACCAACCAAUCAGACAUGGCAGAGUCGCUGUUCACUGCUUCCUACACGGGAGGCCGAGAAUCCCACAAAGACUAAGGGCUAAAAGUGGUGCCGCCACUACUCACAUUAGACGGAGGCGUUUCAAGGCAAGCAGACCAAGAUGUUAUGCUGCCAGGGCUCCAACAAGGAAAGAUGGCAGCAAGGAAAAGACGAAAGACAAGCAAGUGUGAGAAAUCAUGGGGAAUCAAGAUAACUAGCAAAUGGCAUGAAUCAAUGGAGUGAACAGUCACACCUACAAGGCAGCCAAGG